GAGGGUAUAGCUCAAGUGGUAGAGUGUAUGCUUAGCAUGCAAGAGGUCCUGGGUUCAAUCCCUGGUACCUCCC
rnacentral:tRNA from 1 species